GGCUGUGUGGCCUAGUGGACAAGGCGUCUGAUUCUGGAUCAGAAGAUUGAGGGUUCAAGUCCCUUUGUGGUUG
rfam:Tupaia chinensis contig173217, whole genome shotgun sequence.